UACGAAGGGGGCUAGCGUUGCUCGGAAUUACUGGGCGUAAAGGGCGCGUAGGCGGAUACUUAAGUCGGGGGUGAAAGCCCAGGGCUCAACCCUGGAAUAGCCUUCGAUACUGGGUAUCUUGAGUACGGGAGAGGUGAGUGGAACUCCGAGUGUAGAGGUGAAAUUCGUAGAUAUUCGGAAGAACACCAGUGGCGAAGGCGACUCACUGGCCCGUUACUGACGCUGAGGCGCGAAAGCGUGGGGAGCAAACAGG
rnacentral:rRNA from 1 species